rnacentral:rRNA from 1 species
ACGCACGCUGGCGGCGUGCUUAACACAUGCAAGUCGAACGGAAAGGCCCUGCUUUUGUGGGGUGCUCGAGUGGCGAACGGGUGAGUAACACGUGAGUAACCUGCCCUUGACUUUGGGGUAACUUCAGGAAACUGGGGCUAAUACCGGAUAGGAGCUCCUGCUGCAUGGUGGGGGUUGGAAAGUUUCGGCGGUUGGGGAUGGACUCGCGGCUUAUCAGCUUGUUGGUGGGGUAGUGGCUUACCAAGGCUUUGACGGGUAGCCGGCCUGAGAGGGUGACCGGCCACAUUGGGACUGAGGUACGGCCCAGACUCCUACGUGGGGCAGCGGUGGGGAAUAUUGCACAAUGGGCGGAAGCCUGAUGCAGCAGCGCCGCGUGCGGGAUGACGGCCUUCGGGUUGUAAACCGCUUUCGCCUGUGACGAAGCGUGAGUGACGGUAAUGGGUAAAGAAGCACCGGCUAACUACGUG